rnacentral:misc_RNA from 1 species
UCCGAGUUGACCCCGGCAGUCUCCUGCGAGUCCCGCCAUUACGCGCUGGCAACACAGGACAAGGGUUGCGCUCGUUGCGGGACUUAACCCAACAUCUCACGACACGAGCUGACGACAGCCAUGCAGCACCUGUGCAUGGAUCCCGAAGGAGGCUCCUCGUUUCUGAGGAGUUUCCCAUGCAUGUCAAGCCUAGGUAAGGUUCUGCGCGUUGCGUCGAAUUAAACCACAUGCUCCACCGCUUGUGCGGGCCCCCGUCAAUUCCUUUGAGUUUCAGCCUUGCGGCCGUACUCCCCAGGCGGGGCACUUCAUGCGUUAGCGCCGGUACCCCGGGGGUCGCUCCCCAAAGCACCUAGUGCCCAUCGUUUAGGCGUGGACUAC